GAUGAAGAACGCAGCGAAAUGCGAUAAGUAAUGCGAAUUGCAGAAUUCAGUGAGUCAUCGAAUCUUUGAACGCACAUUGCGCCCCUUGGCAUUCCGGGGGGCAUGCCUGUCCGAGCGUCAUUACAACCCUCAAGCUCAGCUUGGUGUUGGGCCCCGCCGCCCCGGCGGGCCCUAAAGUCAGUGGCGGUGCCGUCCGGCUCCGAGCGUAGUAAUUCUUCUCGCUCUGGAGGUCCGGUCGUGUGCUCGCCAGCAACCCCCAAUUUUUUUCAGGUUGACCUCGGAUCAGGUAGGGAUACCCGCUGAACUUAAGCAUAUCAAUAAGCGGAGGA
rnacentral:misc_RNA from 1 species